rnacentral:rRNA from 1 species
AUGAAUCCAAAAAUGAUUCCACGGCAACAUAUCGGUUCCGGUAGCUCACGGAUAUACCGGUGCAAAAGAAGAUGCCUGACGGUCCCGGUUACAGGUCUUGGCGUCUCUCCUGCUGACCCAAAACAACGCAAAACCAAAGAGCCUCUGGCCGGAAGCACACAAGUGGUCGGGCUGGAGGCAGCAAGCGCGGGCACAGGCCAUGGCAUUAGCAGGGGGCCAGCGGGAGGUGCGGCAGCAAGCAUAGCAGCAGUGCCAUGGUGGGCUCGCGGCAGCAGCGGAGGAUGGAGCAGGUCCGGCGAGGGCGGCGCUUGUCUGAUCUGGCAGCCGGGCUACAUACAGGCAGCAGCCAUGGCGUCGAGGCGACGAGGUGGCCGGGUGGCGGUGACAGGCGGCGCCGAGAAGAGCAUCUACAGCAGGGCGAUGGAGGUGGGGUGGCAUCGGGAGGACUUGGUUAACGAGUGGUCCAAAAUGUUUGGAUUUUUGGUGGAGCACCGGAAUAAGAUGAACAAAUAUAUGACAAGGUUGGAGUCCAAGACUUAA